UCGAGAAUUUUUCUCAAUGGGCGAAAGCCUGAAGGAGCGACGCCGCGUGGGGGAUGAAGGGUUUCGAUCCGUAAACCCCUGUCAUUUGCGAACAAUGGUUGUUUAUGAAUAAUAGGCAGCUUGAUAGUAGCGGAAGAGGAAGGGACGGCUAACUCUGUGCCAGCAGCCGCGGUAAUACAGAGGUCCCAAGCGUUGUUCGGAUUCACUGGGCGUAAAGGGUGCGUAGGUGGCUGGGCAAGUUUGAUGUGAAAUCUCCGGGCUUAACCCGGAAAAUGCAUUGAAUACUGCUUAGCUGGAGGUUUGGAGGGGGGACUGGAAUUCUCGGUGUAGCAGUGAAAUGCGUAGAUAUCGAGAGGAACACCAGUGGCGAAGGCGGGUCCCUGGACAACACCUGACACUGAGGCACGAAAGCUAGGGGAGCAAACAGGAUUAGAUACCCGUGUAGUCC
rnacentral:rRNA from 1 species